GUUUGGGAAUGCAGCUCAAAGUGGGUGGUAAAUUCCAUCUAAGGCUAAAUAUAAGUGAGAGACCGAUAGCAUACAAGUACCGUGAGGGAAAGAUGAAAAGAACUUUGAAAAUAGAGUUAACAGUACGUGAAAUUGCUGAAAGGGAAACGUUUGAAGUUAGUAUUGUAUUYGUUGGAUCAGCUUCGCAAGAGGUCUAUUCCGAUGAUAAGCAAGUCAACAUCAGUCUAUGAGUGUUGGAAAAAGGGCUCGAGAAUGUAGCAAUUUAAUUGUGUUAUAGCUUGGGACCUCGAAUACAACGCUCUUGAUUGAGGAACGCGUAGUAAGCUUUGAGCGGGUUCGAAAGAGCCUCCUUACUAUGGAUGUUGGUGAAAUAACUUUAAGCGACCCGUCUUGAAACACGGACCAAGGAGUCUAACAUGCUUGCGAGUAUUAGGGCGUUGAAACCCGAAUGCGUAAUGAAAGUGAUUUCAGAUGUGAUCCGCAAGGUGCAACAUCGGCCGGUCCUGAUUAUUUAUAUGACGGUACUGAGCAAGAGCAAGUAUGUUAGGACCCGAAAGAUGGUGAACUAUGCCUGGAUAGGG
rnacentral:rRNA from 1 species